rnacentral:rRNA from 1 species
GGUGGCCAUGGAAGUCGGCAUCCGCUAAGGAGUGUGUAACAACUCACCUGCCGAAUUGACCAGCCCUGAAAAUGGAUGGCGCUGGAGCGUCGGACCUAUACCAAGCCGUCAUCGCAAGCUGUCGCAAGAAAAGGGGGACAGGCGUGGAGUGCGAUGUCGAGUAGGAGGGUCGCCGUGGUGAGCGUGGAAGCCUCGAGCGUGAGUUUGGGUGGAGCCGCCACGGGUGCAGAUCUUGGUGGUAGUAGCAAGUAUUCAAGUGAGAACCUUGAAGGCCGAGGUGGAGAAGGGUUCCAUGGGAACAGCAGUUGGCCAUGGGUCAGGCGGUCCUAAGUGAUCCGGUGACUCGGUACAGAGUCGU